GGGUUGUGAGGUUAAGCGACUAAGCGUACACGGUGGAUGCCCUGGCAGUCAGAGGCGAUGAAGGACGUGCUAAUCUGCGAAAAGCGCCGGCGAGGUGAUAUGAACCUUUGACCCGGCGAUGUCCGAAUGGGGAAACCCAGUGCAAUUCGUUGCACUAUCGUUAACUGAAUACAUAGGUUAACGAGGCGAACCGGGGGAACUGAAACAUCUAAGUACCCCGAGGAAAAGAAAUCAACCGAGAUUCCCCCAGUAGCGGCGAGCGAACGGGGAGCAGCCCGGAGUCUGAAUCAGCGUGUGUGUUAGUGGAACGGUCUGGAAAGUCCGACGGUACAGGGUGAUAGUCCCGUACACGAAAGCACACAUGCUGUGAACUCGAAGAGUAGGGCGGGACACGUGGUAUCCUGUCUGAAUAUGGGGGGACCAUCCUCCAAGGCUAAAUACUCCUGACUGACCGAUAGUGAACCAGUACCGUGAGGGAAAGGCGA
rnacentral:rRNA from 1 species